AAAAAGCCAGCAACUACAAUCAGGAAAGAAUGCAGUGAAGAGAGUGAAAGAGUGAACUGUUUUGAUGGCAUUGUAAUAUACAAGAGUGAUGUCGAAACAUUAAAUGGAAGCAAGUGGUUGUGUGAUACCAUAAUUGACUUUUUUUUAAGGUAUUACUGCAAAACGGCAGAAAGAAAAGACGAUGGGGAACAAUAUUAUGCCU